rnacentral:lncRNA from 13 species
GGCCCUGCAAAGCUGUCUCUUGUGGGGAAAAUUUAUAUUCUGUAAAGAAUCCUCUUUUCUUUCCAGGUCUUUUUCUGAGCCAGAAGAGAUCUCACCAAGAGUCUGGGAUCUUUUAAGAUCUGAUGAGAGAUAUUUGUCAUCUAUUCUCUCUGAAGCCCCCUACUUGAAGGCUUCAUCUACAUUACCAAGAACCUUGGUCUCUACAACCCCUUAUCUUAAUCCAGACACUCCUAUCUAUUGAAUCUGAGUCUUCAGAGAAGAACUCUUUCAGCCAAUUGUCAAUCAGAAAAUCUCUGAAUCCACCAAUGACCUGGAGAAGGCUAAUCUGGCAAGAACUGUGGUUCCCAUCACUAGAGAUGGAGUAGGGGCUCCCAACCCAAUUCAGCGAUAUAAAAAACUGAAAGAUUAAUCAGCAAAAGACCUGAACUAAAAUAUUAAAGUUCUAAGGUGAUACCUGAGAAAGAAGGUGAUACCAGAUGGAAAUCUGAAUCUACACAACGGGAUAAAGAACACCAGAAAUGAUAAAUAUCUCUGUGUUGAAGAACCUAGCUUCUUCAGGACAUCCACACAAUCAAGAAACUUCAGAAACCCGUAAAAGAAGAGCAAAAUAUACAAAAAGGAGGCAGGAGAAAGGUAAUAAUGAGAAAAUAAAUGAAAUAGAAAAUAGGCAAA